rnacentral:rRNA from 1 species
UACGUAGGGGGCAAGCGUUGUCCGGAAUCAUUGGGCGUAAAGCGCGUGUAGGCGGCUUGGUAAGUCCGUUCUGAAAGCCCGGGGCUCAACCCCGGGAGGCGGAUGGAUACUGCUGAGCUCGAGUCCGGAAGAGGCGAGUGGAAUUCCUGGUGUAGCGGUGAAAUGCGCAGAUAUCAGGAGGAACACCAAUUGCGAAGGCAGCUCGCUGGGACGUUACUGACGCUGAGACGCGAAAGCGUGGGGAGCAAACAGG